AUAAGAACGAACUAUAAAAAUCAGUUCAAAAAGGCUUAACUCAUCAGAUGGACAAAAAUACAAGUGGAGGUGGCCGGGUACUUAUACAUCACGACAUAAAAAGACACAAUAAACAGAUCUGAGAGUACUCGCAGUUAUCUGACAGCUAGUUCAAAGCCACUAACAACUAAUAAAAAAAUCAUGCAUCUAAGACUAAACUAUCAAUCCGUACACAUCCAACAUCCAAUGGAUUUAGUGUAAAGACGUCAUAAACAGCCAUAGAAAAACAUGAC
rnacentral:lncRNA from 1 species